AUGGCAGAGAUCGUGAUUCUUCUAGCCAUUAAAAAGAUCGGAAAUGCCUUGGCAAAUGGAGCGGCAGACCAGACCAGCACUCAGUUUGCGAAGUACCGCAUGCAACUAAAGGAGUUACAGGGCAACAUGGGUCGCGCUGCGAGAGAGCUUCGUGUAAUGCAUGAUGUUCUUUAUCAAAUGGACAUUCGAAACUGUGAUGAUCAAGUAUACGAGGGCUGGUUGGAGGAGGUAAGGAAGGUAGCACAUGUGAUGGAGGACAUGGUGGAUGAGUACUUAUAUCUAGUUGGCCGGGAACAGGAUACAAGGUGUUGCUUUUACCUGAAGAAAGGGUUCAGAAAACCAAGAUCUCUGCUUUCUUUGAAUCAAAUAGCUUUCAAGGUGAAGGAAAUAGAGCAAGACCUUGCACACCUAUCAGAGACCAAAAAAAGAUGGGUUCCGAUGAUAAACAACGGGGAUACUAGCAGUUCAAAAUACAUCGUCAAGAGAUCCCUAGAUCUAGCAAAUAUUUCACGUUCCCUUGACGAAGAAGAUCUAGUGGGGGUGAAUAAAAGCAGAGAAAAGCUAGAGCAGUGGUUGGCAUGUGAUGAUUUGGAAUGCUCUGUCAUAGCCUUGCUUGGAAUGGGAGGGCUUGGUAAAACAUCUCUAGCUGCAAAUGUCUACAGGAAGGAGAGAGAUAAAUUCCAGUGCCAUGCAUGGGUCUCCAUCUCACAAAAUUAUUCAAGAGAAGAUGUCUUGAGGAAUAUAAUCAAGGAACUUUUUAGAGAUAAAGUCAAUGUCGUAUCUAAUACUGCGACCAUGGACAUCACAUGCCUUGAAGUGACACUGAAGAGAUUUUUGGAGCAACAGAGGUAUCUGAUCAUAUUGGAUGACGUUUGGACUCCAGAAGCAUUUGAUGACUUGUCUAGGGUGCUUAUUCAUAAUGACAAGGGUAGUAGAUUGAUAAUCACAACAAGGGAAGGCGAUGUUGCUGCACUUGCCUCCCGAGGACAUAUCUUAACACUAGAAGCUUUACCAGAAGAACUAGCUUGGGAUCUCUUUUGUAAGAAAGCCUAUCCAAGAGAUACAAAUCAUGAAUGUCCUGCAGAGUUGAAGCCAUUGUCCAGGGAAAUAGUUAACAAGUGCAAAGGCUUGCCUCUGGUUAUUGUGUCAGUUGGUAGCCUAUUGCGUGUGCGUGAGAAAACUAUAGAUGAAUGGAGAAGGAUAAAUGACCAAUUGAGCUGGGAGUUAAUUAAUAAUUCGAGGCUUGGUCACAUAAGGAAUGUUUUGCAUUUGAGCUUCAUCUACCUUCCAACACACUUGAAAAGUUGUUUCCUGUAUUGCAGCUUAUUUCCAGAAGACUAUCUUUUCAAACGGAAAAGGCUUGUACGGUUAUGGAUAGCAGAGGGGUUCAUCGAGGAGAGGGGUGAAAGCACUCUAGAAGAAGUGGCCGAAGGCUAUCUGAAGGAAUUGAUUGAUAGAAAUAUGAUACAACUUGUUGAGAGAAACUCAUUUGGCAGGAUAAAAGAAUUCAGAAUGCACGAUAUCUUACGUGAAUUGGCAGUUCAUCUAUGCCAGAAGGACUGCUUUGGUGUUACAUAUGAGGAUAAAUGUGGGAAAUCUCUUGAGAUGGAUGUACGUCGGCGGGUACUGCAUAAAGUAACGAAGGAUAUUUAUCAGACAUUAUCUGGUAUGCACCGAUUUAGAACUGUCAUUACAGUGGACAACAGCAUGCCAACGUUCACUAUACUACCUCUGCUUUGUAACAAGUCAAGAUAUAUGACAAUGUUAGAAUUUAGUGGUCUACCCAUUGAGAAGAUCCCAGAUGCUAUCGGAGAUCUUUUCAAUCUCCGCCAUUUGGGUCUACGAAAUUCAAAAGUGAAGAUGCUUCCAAUGUCUGUUGACAAGCUUUCAAAUCUGUUGACACUGGACCUUGCUAGAUCUGACAUACAUGAGGUGCCUAGUGGGAUUGUGAAAUUGAAGAAGCUUAGGCACUUAUUUGUCGAGAAAAAAAUUGAUCCAAAUUGGAGAGCAUUUAAGUGUUCCAGUGGUGUGCAUAUCGCCAGUGGUCUUGGAAAUCUGACAAACCUGCAGAUGCUCCGAGCAUUGGAAGCACAUGACGGAUCUAUUAGACAUUUAGGUGAGCUGAGGCAACUGAGAAGCUUGAGGUUGUGGAAUGUGAAGGGACUCUACUGUGGGCGCAUUAGGGACUCUCUAGUUCAGAUGCGGUAUUUGUCCAACCUUUCUGUGAGCGCAAGUGAUGAGAAUGAGGUUCUCUUGUUGAAUAUCCUGCCAAACCUACGAAAGCUAGUUUUGAGAGGACGACUGGCGGAAGGGGCGUUGAAUGAGUCUCUUCUCUUCCAACCUGUUGGGGAGCACAACUUGUAUAGACUGUCUCUAUCUUGGUCACAACUGAGGGGAGACCCUUUGCCAUCGCUUUCUCGGUUGUCUAAUUUGACGCAAAUACAUUUCACCAGAGCAUACAACGAAGAGCAUCUAGCAUUUCUCACGGGGUGGUUUCCCAAGCUGAAGACUCUUCAGUUGAGAGACCUGCCUAAUCUGAAGCAGCUAGAGAUACAACAAGGUGCCAUGGCAAGCCUGGAAAGAUUAUUCUUAAUCAACCUCAACAGCAUGAUGGAUGUCCCACCUGGCAUUGAGUUCCUCAUGCCCCUCCAGCGUCUCGGCUUCCACGAAAUCACAAGUGAUUUCUUGCUGCUGUUGCGCCAAUGUUCUGCAAUUCAAGGGACACAGUGGCAGCAUUCUCUCCGAGAAUGA
rnacentral:rRNA from 1 species